rnacentral:rRNA from 1 species
GACGAACGCUGGCGGCGUGCCUAAUACAUGCAAGUCGAACGCUUUUUCUUUCACCGGAGCUUGCUCCACCGAAAGAAAAAGAGUGGCGAACGGGUGAGUAACACGUGGGUAACCUGCCCAUCAGAAGGGGAUAACACUUGGAAACAGGUGCUAAUACCGUAUAACACUAUUUUCCGCAUGGAAGAAAGUUGAAAGGCGCUUUUGCGUCACUGAUGGAUGGACCCGCGGUGCAUUAGCUAGUUGGUGAGGUAACGGCUCACCAAGGCAACGAUGCAUAGCCGACCUGGGAGGGUGAUCGGCCACACUGGGACUGAGACACGGCCCAGACUCCUACGGGAGGCAGCAGGAGGGAAUCUUCGGCAAUGGACGAAAGUCUGACCGAGCAACGCCGCGUGAGUGAAGAAGGUUUUCGGAUCGUAAAACUCUGUUGUUAGAGAAGAACAAGGAUGAGAGUAAAAUGUUCAUCCCUUGACGGUAUCUAACCAGAAAGCCACGGCUAACUACGUGCCAGCCGCCGCGGUAA